rnacentral:tRNA from 5 species
CGGGGUGUGGUAUAAUGGUAGUACGCAAGGCUGGGGGUCUUGUAGCCGCGGUUCGAUUCCGCGCAUCCCGA